rnacentral:snRNA from 1 species
UACACAAUACAGAGAAGAUUAGCAUGGCCCCUGCACAAGGAUGACACGCAAAUUCGUGAAGCCUUCUAUAUUUUU